GGAUUAGAGCCGGGUUAGGUUAAAGGAAGCUUCUAAUCAGAAUGUCUACAUUUUAAGAUUAGAUCUCAAAUCAGGUAGGACUACCCGCUGAACUUAAGCAUAUCAAUAAGCGGAGGAAAAGAAACUAACAAGGAUUCCCCUAGUAGCGGCGAGCGAAGCGGGAAGAGCUCAAAUUUAUAAUCUGGCACCUUCGGUGUCCGAGUUGUAAUCUCUAGAAAUGUUUUCCGCGCUGGACCGCACACAAGUCUGUUGGAAUACAGCGGCAUAGUGGUGAGACCCCCGUAUAUGGUGCGGAUGCCCAGCGCUUUGUGAUACAUUUUCGAAGAGUCGAGUUGUUUGGGAAUGCAGCUCAAAUUGGGUGGUAAAUUCCAUCUAAAGCUAAAUAUUGGCGAGAGACCGAUAGCGAACAAGUACCGUGAGGGAAAGAUGAAAAGCACUUUGGAAAGAGAGUUAACAGUACGUGAAAUUGUUGGAAGGGAAACGCUUGAAGUCAGACUUGCUUGCCGAGCAAUCGGUUUGCAGGCCAGCAUCAGUUUUCCGGGAUGGAUAAUGGUAGAGAGAAGGUAGCAGUUUCGGCUGUGUUAUAGCUCUCUACUGGAUACAUCUUGGGGGACUGAGGAACGCAGUGUGCCUUACGGCGGGGGUUUCGACCUCUUCACACUUAGGAUGCUGGUGGAAUGGCUUUAAAC
rnacentral:rRNA from 1 species